UCGGCCUUUUGUCUUAUGGCGGCGGGCGAGUGCGGUUCCUUGUGUGUGCGUGCGUGGCGUCGCGGUUAGUGUAGUGAUAGAUAGUGUGCGUUAGUUUAUCCUAUUGAAUGCGUCUUCCUCGCGCUGGAUUUGGUGAGUACCCGUAUCACAGGUCACACCGUGGGACUGACACCGCUGGAGCAACCCUUCGGAAUAAAGUAAAGUACAAAUUACUGUUUCCUAGGCGUUAGGCGUUAGGCAUAGGGCGAUAGGCGGCGCGGCUAACCAUUCUCUUUCAGGUACAAAGUAACCUUCUCUUCCAGGUACAUGUUAAUUAUCUAGUCUUCCCCAGUAAUGUCCUCGUUAGCGCACCGUGGCGGCGAUCCUGGAGCCUCGUGCUGGUGGUGGUGGUGGUGGCGUGGCUGGCUGGCUGGCUGUGGCGGGCGUGCACGUGCUAUCAUAAUGGGUUACGUGGUAGGUGCGUUCACUGGUCUGGGCUGUGUUGGUGCGUGUUCUGAAGAGAUGACCGCAGACACGCUGGCUGCUGAUGACUAUAGCCGCACAGAGGCAGUAUACUGUACAAGCUGGAUGGAAGUAUGCAAACCAGGGCUGGGCGGGAGACGAUUACUGGAUUCGAAUCUGUAGAAUCCUGAAAGGCGGUACGAAUCCGAUUACUGCGUCAGGAUUCUAGAAUCCGGUAUGG